UAGCCUACGGGGGGCAGCAGUGGGGAAUAUUGGGCAAUGGGCGCAAGCCUGACCCAGCAAUGCCGCGUGAAGGAAGGAGGCCCUCGGGUUGUAAACUUCUUUUAUCAGGGACGAAGGAUGUGACGGUACCUGAUGAAUAAGCUCCGGCUAACUACGUGCCAGCAGCCGCGGUAAUACGUAGGGAGCAAGCGUUAUCCGGAUUUACUGGGUGUAAAGGGAGCGCAGGCGGUGCGGCAAGUCUGAUGUGAAAGCCCGGGGCUCAACCCCGGGACU
rnacentral:rRNA from 1 species